GGGCUAGAGAAAGGAUUUCUGCAUCACUUUCUUCCUGUAGCAAUUCCAUCCGAGAUCCCUGGGACAGACCUGGCCUGAUGAAUAGCAGGAAGCACACCAGGGAGGGACAAGGUCCUGCAGACAACCUUCACCACCAGGCUGGGACAGCGCCAUGGGGACCCAGGGCCUCUGCUUUGGGGAAAGACCUUGCUGAGGGCCCCAUGGGCAAGAACAAGUGUGAAGAACCCUACUAUGGUUUUUUGCCCAAUGCCCUCCACAAAGCCAGCGUUUGAAGGAAAACUGUGAGGAAGAAGGGACACUCCAUGGUGUUGUUGUUGCCACCGCUGGAGCAGCCUGUAGCAAGAACAGUCUUGGUCCAACCAGAUAUCCAGAACCCUGACCCUGCCGUGUACCAGCUGAGAGACUCUAAAUCCAGUGACAAGUCUGUCUGCCUAUUCACCGAUUUUGAUUCUCAAACAAAUGUGUCACAAAGUAAGGAUUCUGA
rnacentral:lncRNA from 1 species